ensembl:lncRNA
UACAGAGGGAGCUCAAGCACGCUCGCUCUUUAGCGCAGGACCUUCAGGACCUUUGGAGUGGUGCGCCAACUCACACUGACACAAACACGUGCUGCAUUUCACUGAGGUGCUACACACCUCAGAGGGAGAGACACAGAGAGCAUUAGAAGUAGCCCAUUCCAGCCGGUUCCUCUGGACUAUUUGGCCACGAUGGCACCUGCCAAAGGGGAGAGUGACUAGGAGGAGCUGAGGACUGAGCCAGGGGAAGCUGCGGAUGAAGGUCCGUGCGUGACGUCGUUGCCUCGUCUCGGAGGUGAGAGGGAUCUCGGUCAUCCUUCACAAGUUGAGCUGUAAGUCGGCUUGGAGAGACUCCUCGGAAACAAGGGGGGUGUUAUAAAGAAUACGCUGAAUAUUAAGAUCUUGAAAGGAAGCCAAGGAGAGCCCCCCUCAAGCAAACGCCAAGACAGAGAAUCUGUUUUGGAAUUAUAGUGCCGAGCUCAUUCUGAACCGUCACCAAACAGGACCCGGGCCCAAACCAAGGGAGGUGGACUGGAGCGAAGACACUGACAGAGAACAGGACGUUUUCCCUCUAAAUCAGAACCAAACUAACAAAAACCAACAUUUCACAUUAAAGCUGACAUCAAUUUAGGCUGAAUACCACAAUCAAGUCACAUACUCCAAUUUCUAAGUUGACUUUGAAGAAAGGAGCUCGCUCUGAGCGAGCCGAGAUGAUGACCAUGAUGAUGAUGAUGACGGUCACCUGCAGCGCUCUCUUCCUGCUGGGUCUUGUCACAGCCCAAGCUUCC